rnacentral:lncRNA from 1 species
GUUUUUUACGAAAAUAAUCUAAAAAAAUAAAAAAUAACCAAAAUAGUAUAAAUUUUUUUAUUUACGAAAAUGGUAUAAAAUUAAAAAAAAACAUAAAAGUUAAAAAAAAAAAGCUGGGGCCCUGGUGGAGGGCCAACCACAGGCGGCACCAACCUCUUAUAUUAGGGGGACCAUUUGGCUGAAUGAGAAGAAAGAAAAGGAAAGGAGAAGAAAGAAAAAGAAAGAAGAAGAAAGGAAAGGAAAGGAGAAGAAAGAAAAGGAAAGGAGAAGAGGGAGGGAAGGAAAAAGAAAGAAAGAAAAAAAGCAAACGUAUUUUUUUUGUUUUAUUUUAAUUUUUUUGUAUUAUUUGUGUAAAAAAUCUAUGUUAUGUACAUUGUAUGUGUUUUAUUAUUUUAUUUAGCAUAUAUUUUUUAUGAAAUUUAUUUAGCAUGAAAAAACCCAUGUUAUGUACAUUUUAUGUUGAUUAGAUAUAUAAGUAAUGAAAUUUAUU